UACGAAGGGGGCUAGCGUUGCUCGGAAUCACUGGGCGUAAAGCGCACGUAGGCGGAUUGCUAAGUCAGGGGUGAAAUCCUGGAGCUCAACUCCAGAACUGCCCUUGAUACUGGCGGUCUCGAGUCCGGGAGAGGUGAGUGGAACUGCGAGUGUAGAGGUGAAAUGCGUAGAUAUCGGAAGGAACACCUGUGGCGAAAGCGGCUCACUGGACCAUAACUGACGCUGAGGCGCGAAAGCUAGGGGAGCAAACAGG
rnacentral:rRNA from 1 species